GUGGGGAAUAUUGGGCAAUGGGGGAAACCCUGACCCAGCAACGCCGCGUGAGGGAAGAAGGUUUUCGGAUUGUAAACCUCUGUCCUUGGUGACGAAGGAAGUGACGGUAGCCAAGGAGGAAGCCCCGGCUAACUACGUGCCAGCAGCCGCGGUAAUACGUAGGGGGCGAGCGUUGUCCGGAAUGACUGGGCGUAAAGGGCGCGUAGACGGCUGUCUAAGUCUGGAGUGAAAGUCCUGCUUUCAAGGUGGGAAUUGCUUUGGAGACUGGAUGGCUUGAGUGCGGAAGAGGUAAGUGGAAUUCCCAGUGUAGCGGUGAAAUGCGUAGAGAUUGGGAGGAACACCAGUGGCGAAGGCGACUUACUGGGCCGUAACUGACGUUGAUGCGCGAAAGCGUGGGGAGCGAACAGGAUUAGAUACCCCUGUAGUCC
rnacentral:rRNA from 1 species